rnacentral:rRNA from 1 species
AGGAUGAACGCUGGCGGCGUGCCUAAUACAUGCAAGUCGUGCGGCAGCGCGAGUAGUUUACUACUUGGCGGCGAGCGGCGGACGGCUGAGUAACACGUAGGAACAUACCCCAAAGUGAGGGAUAACUGCUCGAAAGAGUAGCUAAUACCGCAUGUGAUCUAAGGAUUAAAGCUUCGGCGCUUUGGGAAUGGCCUGCGUUCGAUUAGCUAGUUGGUGAGGUAAUUGCUCACCAAGGCGACGAUCGAUAGCUGGUCUGAGAGGAUGAUCAGCCAGACUGGGACUGAGACACGGCCCAGACUCCUACGGGAGGCAGCAGUAGGGAAUUUUCACAAUGGGCGAAAGCCUGAUGGAGCAACGCCGCGUGCAGGAUGAAUGCCUUAGGUUGUAAACUGCUUUAUAUGUGACGAUUAUGACGUAGCAUAUAGAAUAAGGAUACGGCUAACUCCGUGCCAGCAGCCGA